AAUUUUCGUGGGGGUUUAAUUUCCCUUGAGGUACAAAGUGAAACAGGAAUUUACUCCCACCACAAAAUGUAAUUUUUCACAAUAACAACUCAGCAAUUUUUCAUCCAUGCAUAAAUCCAUAUUUUUCCUUCAAAUCACAAAAAUUUAAUUUGACUCCACGAAAAUAUGUGAUUUAAUUUACAGUGUAUAUUUAUCAGUAUGGGUUAUGUGUAAAUAUUCAGUGAUUGUGUGUCUGUCAGUGUCGAUGUCACUUCCUGCUUAGUAGAUGGAGACCAAUUAUCUGGUCUUUCAAGUUUUUUUUCUUAGUCCAGUUAAGUUUGAGAUAACAAGGUUUGACUGUACUUUCCCUUUAGAAUUAAAAGUCAUCAUAGAUAAUGUUGAUAAAUGUCAAAGAUCACCAUCGCUAUAGACCACAACCAUCUGGUGGCUAUUCAUUUAAAUGUCUUCUAAAUCUAAACUGUAAUUUUUCAAAUUGUAUGGAAAGUUCUUUGUGACUAAAUUAUGACAUAUUUCAAAAUUGAAGUCUCCAGAUUUUUUGGUGUAUAAUUUUCAUACCAAAACUUGUCUAAAUCAACAUUAUUAUAAUCAUUUGUUUGAUUGUCUUCAAGGUACUUCUUGGGAUUGUUUCAAAUAGGUAAAUGGGUAUUAAAGGGGAGGGGCAUGCUAAUGAUAAACUUUUUGCUAGUAUUUUGUCAGGGUGUGAGUCACUAUCCAGUCUUUCAGGAUCUUCCUUAAGAUAGACUUUCCAGUUCAUUCCAGGCAUUUUCUCUUCUGUAAUGCCAUAGAAUUAUGGCUUCAAUUUGUGUAAGUAUAUGAAAUUUCAUGUUUAAGUUAAAAAUUGCAUUGAAAGUCAUGAUCAGUCUUUCUGGCUAUUCUAUAAUACAAUUAAGCUAUCAGAUUUUCUGAAUUCUUCCCAAAUUCCAUUAUACCGGUUAGCCUUAAGAGUUUUGAGUAGAUAAUCAAAAUGAAAACACGAUCAUAUACCUUUAUGUUUUUUGUGAGAGAACAUGCAGAAGGUUAGGCUAGCCUGGAUUCCAUGUAUAGGAGAGUUGAUAAUGUGCUUCUGCCAGAAUGACAAGGCCAAAGGUACUGAUUGACUGCUGUCCAACCUAGUAGUUAUGGAAGAGAGUUGAUUGGCAUCCAUUCCCAGUUUUACAUCAGCCUGUCAGAUGAGUCCCAAUAGGAAAGGUUGACUAUGGCAAACUGAUGUUAGGAAGAGGGAUUGGCUAGUCUAGACCUAGCAGUCAAGAGGAACAUACCACCCAAUAAACUGAUACUAACCUUGAAAGAUGCAAUUGCCCAUCAGAAACAGGAGGAAAUUGAGCCACUUAACAGGCAAAGAGUCUGAGAAAAGGUUUUGAUUUUGUCUGUAUAAAAAACAGAUAUGAGGUUAGCUGAAUUGUUAUUGUUGCACAUUUUUCUGUCCCUAGCUAUCCCCUUCUAACACAAACCAGUUUAUUUUGAUCAGUAUACAUACAUACUUGCAUUAACUAUUUGCAAUAUCACUGAGCUCCUACGAUCAUACUCGAACAUUAAAAAUCAUUAGAGUUGUCUCCCCCAUUACCUGGAACUCUUCACUACUUCAGUUUAUGUUCGGGCACUGACAUUUAUGGCAGUUUAUUGUAGCAUGGUUUGAGAAUUGAAGGUUUUUGAUUUGCCUGUG